AACGAACGCUGGCGGCAGGCUUAACACAUGCAAGUCGAACGCAUCCUUCGGGGUGAGUGGCAGACGGGUGAGUAACGCGUGGGAACGUGCCCUUCAGUUCGGGAUAACCCAGGGAAACUUGGGCUAAUACCGGAUACGUGCGAGAGCAGAAAGAUGUAUCGCUGAAGGAUCGGCCCGCGUCUGAUUAGCUAGUUGGUGGGUAAUGGCCCACCAAGGCGACGAUCAGUAGCUGGUCUGAGAGGAUGAUCAGCCACAUUGGGACUGAGACACGGCCCAAACUCCUACGGGAGGCAGCAGUGGAGAAUAUUGGACAAUGGGCGCAAGCCUGAUCCAGCCAUGCCGCGUGAGUGAUGAAGGCCUUAGGGUUGUAAAGCUCUUUCGUCCGGGACGAUAAUGACGGUACCGGAAGAAGAAGCCCCGGCUAACUUCGUGCCAGCAGCCGCCGUAA
rnacentral:rRNA from 1 species